CCUACGGGUGGCAGCAGUGAGGAAUAUUGGUCAAUGGGAGAGAUCCUGAACCAGCCAAGCCGCGUGAGGGAAGACGGCCCUAUGGGUUGUAAACCUCUUUUGUCUGAGAAUAAAAUCCGGGACGUGUCCCGGACUGCGUGUAUCCGAAGAAAAAGCAUCGGCUAACUCCGUGCCAUCAGCCGCGGUAAUACGGGGGAUGCGAGCGUUAUCCGGAUUUAUUGGGUUAAAGGGGUGCGUAGGCGGUCCGUUAAGUCAGCGGGAAAAUUGCGGGGCUAAACCCCAUCGAGCCGUUGAAACUGGCAGACUUGAGUUGGCGAGAGGUACGCGGAAUGCGCGGUGUAGCGGUGAAAUGCAUAGAUAUCGCGCAGAACUCCGAUUGCGAAGGCAGCGUACCGGCGCAAGACUGACGCUGAGGCACGAAAGCGUGGGGAUCGAACAGGAUUAGAUACCCGGGUAGUC
rnacentral:rRNA from 1 species